rnacentral:snRNA from 1 species
GUGCUUACUUUGGCAGCACAUAUACUGAAAUUGGAACAAUACACAGAAGAUUAGCAUGGCCCCAGCAUAAGGGUGACAUGCAAAUUUGUGAAACAUUCCAUAUUUUU